rnacentral:rRNA from 1 species
UAACACCUGUGAGACUGCGGACGGCUCAGUAUAUCAGUUAUAAUCUGCUCGAUUGUAAAGGUUAUUGGAUAACCGUGGGAAAUCUAGAGCUAAUACAUGCAGUUUGUUGGUGGAGGGGCAACCCAAAGCCAAUUGCAUUUAUUAGAGAAUACCAACCGUAUGAGUAAAAUUGUACGUGGUGAAUCUAGAUAACUGUGCAGAUCGUAUGGCCCUGAGCUGACGACAUUUCGAUUGAGUUUCUGCCCUAUCACCUUGAUGCUAGUGUGUUGUACUAGCAUGGGAACGACGGGUAACGGAGGAUUAGGGUUCGAUCCCGGAGAGGGAGCCUGAGAAACGGCUACCACAUCCAAGGAAGGCAGCAGGCGCGAAAAUUACCCAAUCCAGAAAAUGGGAGGUGGUAACGAGAAGUACCGGAUGGCGGCUUAAAUGUUGUCAGUCUGGAAUGGAAUCAAUUUAAGCAAUUGAAUUGAGAAACAACUGGAGGGCAAGUCUGGUGCCAGCAGCCGCGGUAAUUCCAGCUCCAGUAGCGUAUCUCAAAGUUGCUGCGCUUAAAACGCUCGUAGUUGGAUCACUAACCUUGUACUGGGUGAUAUCAACGCUGAACACCGAUCGCUUUGGUAUGAUGUUGCAUGACCUCAUGCAUUAAUUGUACAAAGUUGGUGUUGUGUUAGAUACUAACCAGUGCAAGGUAAUUGCGCGUAAGGAUGGCCGUUAGCCUUAAAUGAGUUGAUGGUCGUGUCUUACGGGAUGUGCCUUGAGUAAAUCAGCGUGCUCAAAGCAGGCUAUUGCCUGAAUGUUUAAAGCAUGGAACGAACAAUCGUGUAUGGUGUGUGCUGGUAACAGCUGCAGUGUUCAACGCUGUCAGUUGCAGUACACGACACCGACCACCAAUAUCGGAUGUUGGUUCCGUAUUGGGGUACUGAUUAAGAGGAGCGGUUGGGGGCAUUGGUAUUUGGCAGCGAGAGGUGAAAUUCUUAGACCUGCCAAGGACUAACAAAUGCGAAGGCAUCUGUCCAGACCGUAUCCAUUAAUCAAGAACGAUAGUGAGAGGUUCGAAGACGAUCAGAUACCGUCCUAGUUCUCACCGUAAACUAUGCCGACCCGGGAUCAGUUUGAGAGUUGUUCAAUGCUCGGGAUUGGUCCCCCUGGGAAACCUUAAGUUUUUCGGUUGCGGGGGGAGUAUGGUCGCAAGGCUGAAACUUAAAGGAAUUGACGGAAGGGCACCACCAGGGGUGGAGCCUGCGGCUUAAUUUGACUCAACACGGGAAAACUUACCUGGUCCGGACAUCAAUAGGAUAGUCAGACCGAUAGAUCUUACUUGAUCUGGUGAUGAGUGGUGCAUGGCCGUUCUUAGUUCGUGAAGUGAUUUGUCAGGCUCAUUCCGGUAACGGACGAGAUCUCUUUCUUCACUUGACGAGCUGAAGCAGGUGCGAAAUCAUCGUAUUUUUGGCAACAGAGGUACUUUGAGUGCUCGUACUGCAGGCAGUGUAGCUAAAGUAUGGUUUAUGGAACAAAAGGUGGCAACACCUGGCGUACCCAGAAUUGUAUGUAGGAUGCACUCCCUUCAGCCAAACAGUAUAUAGUUUUAUAUGCUGUAUCGUGAAGAGACAACGGAAUAUAUAACAAAAUCCGAGGAAGUGAGGCUAUAACAGGUCUGUGAUGCCCUUAGAUGUUCAGGGCUGCACGCGCGCUACAAUGGUAACCCCUGUGAGACUGCGGACGGCUCAGUAAAUCAACCUGGUUGAUCCUGCCAGGUCCGUAGGUGAACCUGCGGAAGACGCGCGCUACAAUGGUAACACCUGUGAGACUGCGGACGGC